GGAACUGAGCAAGUGUAAAGGAGAGUGAAAGAAAAUGAACGCAGGAAGGGGGAGUGAUUUGUCUGGCUCAGAUGGAGUCAAUAUUUGCUCCAUUCCACCAAUCCUGUGCCAGGGUCUGGAUCAAAGCAGGGCGUGUUUGUUCAAAAAAGGACGCAGAGAGCCAAAGGAGAAAACGGUGGACAUCUUUACAUUCUGAUGUGGAUGUGGCUGGGAGAACCAAGAGGGAUACUUUUUCACUAAAAGCAUAUUAGUUUGAAGUUAAUUUCUGUGAAAUUGUAAGCAUAGGUCAUUGUUAAACCUCAGGCGGGAAGAUCAUUAUGGAUGAGAAUAAAAACAAAAGCAAAACUUAGGGUUAAAAACGGCUAAAAGAGGGAGAUAAGAGGAUCGACGGGUGGAUAGCUCUAAUGAGGAGUUACAGUGGCCACUGGUGAGACAAGGACAUGAGCAGGAGAGAGAGGUCGGCUCAGUUGGACCCUAAUUGGCUGACGAAACAGCUGAAAUAACCUUGGUCCAAUUAUCGCACAAAGAGCAAUUGUUGCCCAUUCAGAGAAGCCACUGGUCCACAUAUGUACACAUAACAAGAACAAGCAACAGGAUUUAUGUCUGUGUGAACGGGCAUGUAUGGUAUGGCUUGGCACAGUGCAGUCAUGGUUGGCACAGGAGGCACUGGGCCACAAGAGAUACAGCGGAACGACUCAGCUGGGUAGUUUAAGUUACAGCACCCUCCACAAGUAGGAAUCCUGAAAACAACCUGAGGUCACGGUCUGAGGUCAGCUUCUCCUCCCUCUUACUCCCCAAGGCUGCACUUGUUUCUGCACAGCAUACUGAGAUGAGGAAAGGGACUGAAGAUUUAUCGGCGCAUGCCAUUAAUGGACAAAUCAACAA